AUGUAUAGAUGGAGUGAUGAUGAAGAAUUAAGACUUGGUACUAGCAGUGAAGAAUUCACACAUCUUAAACACGUAUUAAAGCUCUAUAAUGCAUAUCUUGGAGUUCUAGUAUGCCUUUUAAUCUCUCUCUUUUUCCGCCUUUUUGUACUUGUAUUUUAUUUAUGCUUUUGAUUUGAAACUUUUUCAGGGACAACAUUGUCAAGUUCGUGCCAUUACUUAAUUUGUAGUUCUUUUAAAUUUGGGUUCUGGGAGAGAAUGUGAAGGGGAGCCAUGGCCCGAGAGACAACAGAGGAGAACCCUUGUGUGUUGGGGAAGAAGAAGAAGAAGAAGAAGAAGAAAGAUAUUGUAGGUCAGAAAAAGUCAUGUUUUCUACCUUUGACAUUUUUAAAAGUUGCUAGUAAGAACCGCAGUAUUUAUCUAUAAUAUGUACUAAACUGUAUUAUUUAACCUAAGUUUUUAUG